AAUUUACCCAAUCCUGAUUCAGGGGAGGGUAGUGACAAUAAAUAACAAUCCAGGACUUCGGUCUUGGAAUUUGGAAUGAGAACAAUUUAAAUCUCUUAUCUGAGGAACAAUUGGAGGGCAAGUCUGGUGCAGCAGCCGCGGUAAAUUCCAUGCUCCAAUAGCGUAUAUUAAAGUUGUUGCAGUUAAAUGGCUCGUAGUUUGAAUCUUGGGACUGGUUUUGGCGGUCGCGUCUUUGACUGUGUACUGUCGGCCGGUUCUUUUACUUGUGGGGAACGUAUGUGCCCUUUGCGGGGUGUGUACGGGAACCAUGGCUGUUACUUUGAAAAAAUUAGAGUGUUUAAAGCGGGCG
rnacentral:rRNA from 1 species